rnacentral:rRNA from 1 species
GCAGCAGCCGCGGUAAUACGUAGGGGGCAAGCGUUGUCCGGAAUUAUUGGGCGUAAAGCGCGCGCAGGCGGUUCAGUUAGUCUGUCUUAAAAGUUCGGGGCUUAACCCCGUGAUGGGAUGGAAACUGCUGAUCUAGAGUAUCGGAGAGGAAAGUGGAAUUCCUAGUGUAGCGGUGAAUGCGUAGAUAUUAGGAAGAACACCAGUGGCGAAGGCGACUUUCUGGACGAAAACUGACGCUGAGGCGCGAAAGCCAGGGGAGCGAACGGGAUUAGAUACCCGGGUAGUCCCUGUCUCUUAUACAC